AUUGACCUUAUUAAACAUAUUUUUAACAAUAAGCCCUAAGAUGAACCAGGUUGGGUUGCCAAAGAUUCCCAAUCAAUUGUUUGAAUUCUUUCCUCGCACAUGGGUUCACGUCCUUGAGCCACUUCAUCGCCACCGUCCCAAGGCUUUCUUUUCCAAGCAUCUCCGCCGAUGCACAGAGCAGGUCCUUGAGCUGAACGGGGAACGGGGAAAACGGGCAGAGGGGUUUACCUGCCCAGAGCAGGUCCUUCAGUUGUCGUUGUCAGAGGGCAGAGUUGUGGAAAAUAAUCUUCAAUCCGUGAGAGCAUGGUUAGGCGUGAUUUUCUUCCCAGGGGAUUUGGAAUCAUGAUGAGGUGGCCUUCGGUCUUGCAGCUACACAAGACGGAGGGGCAAGUGGAGUACGCUGAAUUUCUUCACUUACCAAAUAGGAGAGAUUUACAAAUUUUUCCAGUUCGCAAGGAAAUUCAAGACCAAAUGAUCGAAUAACUGGAAAGACAACAAAUUUCUCCUUUGUCUCCGAGAGUAUACUUUGAGGAUGAGAAGCAUUGACGUGGCAAAAUGUUGGUCGUUCGGUGGAGAUGGGAAGGAGAAGAAGAAGAAAGAAGAGACUGAGAAGUUUCUUCUGUCGUUAAUGUGUUCGAAAUAUCAAUGGUGGAAGGACGAGCUCGAGUUGGUGAGAUCUAAGGCAGCACCAACGAGGGUCAUCGUUCCAUCGUUGUCUCCCCCACCGUGGAUGGAGAACCUGUAAAUGAACAGACUGGUAACGGGCUCCUAGUGUUCCCCGCAACACUUCUCAAUCGAGCUCGCACUCCAAUUGGAGAAACCAAAAGGUGUGGAUUUUCUGGUGAGCAUCCAUCGGUAGAAGCUUAAGCAAAGUGGAUUUUCCACUGAGAAUUUUGUGUCAGAGGCUUUUUUCAAAGUGAUUUUUUUUGAGAAUCUAGUGGAAGGAAUCCAACAGCAGCGACAAUUAAUUGUUCUUUCUUUAGUCUAAAGAAGCAGGAGCAAAUCCGAUGACCGGCUUUACUCUCAUCAACAACACCUAUGCUGAUCAGAGAAGAAGUGAUGGAGAGAUGGAGGCGAAGAGCUGGAGACAGAGAAGGGAGGAGACGCAGAGGUUGGGGGAAAGGGUUAUGUUUGAUUGUAAUAAGGGUGAAAUGGUAAUUUGUUAAAACCUUUUAAUAUGCUUAACGUCAAGCUACUGGCAUGGUGAGUUUUGAACGUUUUGAAAAGUUGUGAUGGGUUUAAGAGAAUUCAGAAAAAGUGAUGGGGGUUUUGGUCUUUUGGAGAAUUUCCCUUAUCUAAAUGCAUGAAGUUUCUUGAUAUUUAUCUC